AUUAACCUAGUUAGUAAAUUGAAUUGGAAAAAAAAAAAAAAAAACAAUAAGGAAAAACAUGAAAUAGAUAACCAUUUUACAAAAUAUGGAACUAUAGGGACUAAAAGGGGCAAAAGGAAAAAAUGUUUUUAAUUAAAACAAAUAAACACCAAAACACACACACAUGUGUGUGUUUGGUCGACGUAUACACAGAGCCAGGAGAAGGGUUCUUUUCAAAACCCUAAACUCACUAAAAUCCAUCAAAAUCUAAGGGAAAUCGAGUUGGAAAUUAGGGCUUUAACUAAAUUCAUGAUCAACCAUGCUAGGAGAUCACAAGUUGACUCUAAACAAGCUAGGUGGGAGCUUGGAAAGGAACGGGUCAAACGGAUCAUGGAUGCGAAGAAUGUUUGCGCGAACGCGAGGUAAGUAAAGCUUACGCCCAAUUGUAGUAAACGUAUGUAUUUUAUAGAUGAUAAAUGUGACAACCGAUUACAUUCGAAAUUGAAGUUCCGACACUAAGCGAUGUGAGUCGGAACGAAUAAAAAUGAUCAAAACCAUGGUUAAUGGUAAAAUGGACAAAAGGGUAAUUUAGUCGUGAAUCGACUAAGAAUUUAUAAGAUUUCUUUAAGGUUACCUUAUAGCGAAACUUGAAAUGGGUCGGAUGUGUGAAGGGGAUAUUAAAAGUCAUGUUUUGACAUAAGUAUAAAUGUUUGGUCAUAAAUACCAAAUGGGUCAAAUGGUGGUGAUGACACCAUUUGACAAUAUCGACUAAUGUUUGGUUGUUAAGUUAAAUGUUCACAGGAGUGAACGGGAAGUGGAUUAUUGCGUUGCUAUAAAGUAGCGGCUAAUAAAAGAAAGGUACAAAACGGGUCUAUAUGUUGACUCGAGCCAGGUACGCAUUAAUUAGAUCAUGGCGAUAUGCGUAGUUGUAUUUUAAAAUAUAAGUUACUAUGAAAUAUAGCGAUGAUAUCGCCACAUUGAAUAUUUGGUCAAAAGAUGGUUAGAACUCGUUGGUAGUCGUCAAAAAGGAAGGAAUUCCGUAGACGAGCCAAACGGGUCGAAUAAUCAAGUAAGGCAUGGUUAUUGUUUCGGAUUAUGAUGGUUUGAUGGUUGAUUUUGAAUAUUUUAUAACAUAUUAGAAAUAUGAGGUUUUAAUGAAUUAGUAUCAUAGAAAACUGAAAACCGAGAGUCGGGUCUUGGAGUAAUGAUCAAACAAAACAAAACCUGACAUUCCAGGUACUACCGUAAAUUACGGUAGAACCGUAAUUUACGGUGGUUGUGAUAUGGUUUACGGAGCAGAUCUCCUGGUUUACGGUGACCAGACAUUUCCAGGUCUCACCGUAAAUUACGGUGAUACCGUAAUUUACGGUGGAUUCAGAAUCACUUUUUAUAUUUUUGUUAUUUCUAAUGUGGCAUUAAGCCUUGGGAUUAUGUUAUUAUAUAACAACGUCAAAACUAAUGAUUUUAACGGUUUUGAUCAUAGGUGAAUGCCAAGAGUGCCCGGAUGAAGAUCAAGCUCGAUGAGGAACCGAACACAAUAAAAUCUAACACUCGGGAUUAAAGCUUCCGCACGGCGUUACGCCAUAUCUUUUAAACGACGAACUUAUUUAUAUUACGUUGGAAACUUUUAAGUUGUAAAAGUUUUUUUUUUUUAGAUUACUUGUAUUUUCUAAGAAUACUUAAUCGCAAUUUCAUGUUUAUUUUCGAUAUUUAUACAAAAACCUUAAAAAUUAUAACAUGGGUGUUACAAGUUGGUAUCAGAGCCUUGGUUUAAGAGAUUCAAGUAUGGUGGGGAAAACCAUGCUUGGACUUAAACCUUACGCUCUUGAUAAAGAAUAGUGUUCGGUUCGAGGCUUGAUCGCAAAUCCGGUAAGUGCAUGUAUGCUGAUGGUCUAGUGUAUUAAAGUAUUGUAAAUAACACAUAGGGUUACCGUGUAAUACACAUUACCCCAACUAAAUGAUUGAUAUAGUUGACAAAAAUACGCGCGUUGACGCUUAUAGUAGAAAAAGCCUUGUAUUAUAAUACAGGGGAUUAUUGAAGUUGACAUUACUAACUUUUGUGAAUGUCUUGAUUUAAGGACACUUGCAUUUAAAGAUGACAAAGGACAAACAAAUUAAGGAUGUGAUAGAGGAAUAGUCCGAGGCAUGACAAGAGGAACAUGCUCACUAAGGACUAAAUCGCAUAAAGACCGCGAACAAGGUUAAUGGCAAGAGACGCCCGUCGGGGCAAGCAUUAUCAGUUGACUCUAAACAAGCUAGGUGGGAGCUUGGAAAGGAACGGGUCAAACGGAUCAUGGAUGCGAAGAAUGUUUGCGCGAACGCGAGGUAAGUAAAGCUUACGCCCAAUUGUAGUAAACGUAUGUAUUUUAUAGAUGAUAAAUGUGACAACCGAUUACAUUCGAAAUUGAAGUUCCGACACUAAGCGAUGUGAGUCGGAACGAAUAAAAAUGAUCAAAACCAUGGUUAAUGGUAAAAUGGACAAAAGGGUAAUUUAGUCGUGAAUCGACUAAGAAUUUAUAAGAUUUCUUUAAGGUUACCUUAUAGCGAAACUUGAAAUGGGUCGGAUGUGUGAAGGGGAUAUUAAAAGUCAUGUUUUGACAUAAGUAUAAAUGUUUGGUCAUAAAUACCAAAUGGGUCAAAUGGUGGUGAUGACACCAUUUGACAAUAUCGACUAAUGUUUGGUUGUUAAGUUAAAUGUUCACAGGAGUGAACGGGAAGUGGAUUAUUGCGUUGCUAUAAAGUAGCGGCUAAUAAAAGAAAGGUACAAAACGGGUCUAUAUGUUGACUCGAGCCAGGUACGCAUUAAUUAGAUCAUGGCGAUAUGCGUAGUUGUAUUUUAAAAUAUAAGUUACUAUGAAAUAUAGCGAUGAUAUCGCCACAUUGAAUAUUUGGUCAAAAGAUGGUUAGAACUCGUUGGUAGUCGUCAAAAAGGAAGGAAUUCCGUAGACGAGCCAAACGGGUCGAAUAAUCAAGUAAGGCAUGGUUAUUGUUUCGGAUUAUGAUGGUUUGAUGGUUGAUUUUGAAUAUUUUAUAACAUAUUAGAAAUAUGAGGUUUUAAUGAAUUAGUAUCAUAGAAAACUGAAAACCGAGAGUCGGGUCUUGGAGUAAUGAUCAAACAAAACAAAACCUGACAUUCCAGGUACUACCGUAAAUUACGGUAGAACCGUAAUUUACGGUGGUUGUGAUAUGGUUUACGGAGCAGAUCUCCUGGUUUACGGUGACCAGACAUUUCCAGGUCUCACCGUAAAUUACGGUGAUACCGUAAUUUACGGUGGAUUCAGAAUCACUUUUUAUAUUUUUGUUAUUUCUAAUGUGGCAUUAAGCCUUGGGAUUAUGUUAUUAUAUAACAACGUCAAAACUAAUGAUUUUAACGGUUUUGAUCAUAGGUGAAUGCCACCAAGAGUGCCCGGAUGAAGAUCAAGCUCGAUGAGGAACCGAACACAAUAAAAUCUAACACUCGGGAUUAAAGCUUCCGCACGGCGUUACGCCAUAUCUUUUAAACGACGAACUUAUUUAUAUUACGUUGGAAACUUUUAAGUUGUAAAAGUUUUUUUUUUUAGAUUACUUGUAUUUUCUAAGAAUACUUAAUCGCAAUUUCAUGUUUAUUUUCGAUAUUUAUACGAAAACCUUAAAAAUUAUAACAUGGGUGUUACAAGUUGGUAUCAGAGCCUUGGUUUAAGAGAUUCAAGUAUGGUGGGGAAAACCAUGCUUGGACUUAAACCUUACGCUCUUGAUAAAGAAUAGUGUUCGGUUCGAGGCUUGAUCGCAAAUCCGGUAAGUGCAUGUAUGCUGAUGGUCUAGUGUAUUAAAGUAUUGUAAAUAACACAUAGGGUUACCGUGUAAUACACAUUACCCCAACUAAAUGAUUGAUAUAGUUGACAAAAAUACGCGCGUUGACGCUUAUAGUAGAAAAAGCCUUGUAUUAUAAUACAGGGGAUUAUUGAAGUUGACAUUACUAACUUUUGUGAAUGUCUUGAUUUAAGGACACUUGCAUUUAAAGAUGACAAAGGACAAACAAAUUAAGGAUGUGAUAGAGGAAUAGUCCGAGGCAUGACAAGAGGAACAUGCUCACUAAGGACUAAAUCGCAUAAAGACCGCGAACAAGGUUAAUGGCAAGAGACGCCCGUCGGGGCAAGCAUUAUCAGUUGACUCUAAACAAGCUAGGUGGGAGCUUGGAAAGGAACGGGUCAAACGGAUCAUGGAUGCGAAGAAUGUUUGCGCGAACGCGAGGUAAGUAAAGCUUACGCCCAAUUGUAGUAAACGUAUGUAUUUUAUAGAUGAUAAAUGUGACAACCGAUUACAUUCGAAAUUGAAGUUCCGACACUAAGCGAUGUGAGUCGGAACGAAUAAAAAUGAUCAAAACCAUGGUUAAUGGUAAAAUGGACAAAAGGGUAAUUUAGUCGUGAAUCGACUAAGAAUUUAUAAGAUUUCUUUAAGGUUACCUUAUAGCGAAACUUGAAAUGGGUCGGAUGUGUGAAGGGGAUAUUAAAAGUCAUGUUUUGACAUAAGUAUAAAUGUUUGGUCAUAAAUACCAAAUGGGUCAAAUGGUGGUGAUGACACCAUUUGACAAUAUCGACUAAUGUUUGGUUGUUAAGUUAAAUGUUCACAGGAGUGAACGGGAAGUGGAUUAUUGCGUUGCUAUAAAGUAGCGGCUAAUAAAAGAAAGGUACAAAACGGGUCUAUAUGUUGACUCGAGCCAGGUACGCAUUAAUUAGAUCAUGGCGAUAUGCGUAGUUGUAUUUUAAAAUAUAAGUUACUAUGAAAUAUAGCGAUGAUAUCGCCACAUUGAAUAUUUGGUCAAAAGAUGGUUAGAACUCGUUGGUAGUCGUCAAAAAGGAAGGAAUUCCGUAGACGAGCCAAACGGGUCGAAUAAUCAAGUAAGGCAUGGUUAUUGUUUCGGAUUAUGAUGGUUUGAUGGUUGAUUUUGAAUAUUUUAUAACAUAUUAGAAAUAUGAGGUUUUAAUGAAUUAGUAUCAUAGAAAACUGAAAACCGAGAGUCGGGUCUUGGAGUAAUGAUCAAACAAAACAAAACCUGACAUUCCAGGUACUACCGUAAAUUACGGUAGAACCGUAAUUUACGGUGGUUGUGAUAUGGUUUACGGAGCAGAUCUCCUGGUUUACGGUGACCAGACAUUUCCAGGUCUCACCGUAAAUUACGGUGAUACCGUAAUUUACGGUGGAUUCAGAAUCACUUUUUAUAUUUUUGUUAUUUCUAAUGUGGCAUUAAGCCUUGGGAUUAUGUUAUUAUAUAACAACGUCAAAACUAAUGAUUUUAACGGUUUUGAUCAUAGGUGAAUGCCAAGAGUGCCCGGAUGAAGAUCAAGCUCGAUGAGGAACCGAACACAAUAAAAUCUAACACUCGGGAUUAAAGCUUCCGCACGGCGUUACGCCAUAUCUUUUAAACGGCGAACUUAUUUAUAUUACGUUGGAAACUUUUAAGUUGUAAAAGUUUUUUUUUUUUUAGAUUACUUGUAUUUUCUAAGAAUACUUAAUCGCAAUUUCAUGUUUAUUUUC